GUCAACAUUCAUUGUUGUCUUCUAGCACGUGAAACGAAUUCAGCUCUGUUCACAUUACGAAUGUCUAAACAGCUUCUCAAAGGCAAAGAGGCGACUUAAAGUUAAUGGAGUAUAUCAACUUUUCAGAUUUAGAAAUCAGAAUGAGGACGUUCUAGAAAUUAAUGGACCUACUUCUCGGAAAUACUGAAUUGUAGUGUACUGGUUACUUCAUCUACAUUUAAUAGGUUCCGUUUGCGCGGGUUGAAUACUUGAAUGUGGACACUGAUAUACAC